GUGUACUUCCAUGGCACGUAUACUAAAAUUGCAAUGAUACAGAGAAGAUUAGCAUGGACCCUGCACAAAGAUGACCAAAAACAUUAAAAAUAAAUAAAAACAAGU